GGCGAGGGUUGUAGCUGGCCUUUCGGGGCAUGUGCACGCCCGAGCCUUUAAUCCAACAUACACCUGUGAACCCAAUGUAAGGGCCCGUAAAAAGGCCCCUACGUCUUUAUCACCAACUCUGUAUUCAUAGAAUGUAAUCCAUAUCUUCGCCUUAACAAGCGUUGGUAAAACUUAUACAACUUUCAACAACGGAUCUCUUGGCUCUCGCAUCGAUGAAGAACGCAGCGAAAUGCGAUAAGUAAUGUGAAUUGCAGAUUUUCAGUGAAUCAUCGAAUCUUUGAACGCACCUUGCGCCCCUUGGUAUUCCGAGGGGCAUGCCUGUUUGAGUGUCAUUAAAUUCUCAACUCCGAUUUGAUUUGUUUCUUAUCGGAGCUUGGACUUUGGAGCGUGCUGGCGUAAGGUCGGCUCCUCUUAAAUGUAUCAGCGGAAUCUAACCUUUGGAUUCUGGACAUCGGUGUGAUAAUAAAAGUUGCGCCGUCGUUCUACUUCAAAGUCCGCUUACAAUGGUCUUUUGACAAACUCUUAUCAAAUUUGACCUCAAAUCAGGUAGGACUACCCGCU
rnacentral:rRNA from 1 species